rnacentral:rRNA from 1 species
AGCAGCCGCGGUAAUUCCAGCUCCAAUAGCGUAUAUUAAAGUUGUUGCAGUUAAAAAGCUCGUAGUUGAAUUUCGGGAUCAAUACGUCGGUCGUGCUUCGGUACGUACUGGCGUCAUUGAUUUCUCCCUUCUGACGAACCAUGAUGUCAUUAACUUGGUGUCAUGGGAAAUCAGGACUGUUACUUUGAAAAAUUAGAGUGUUUAAAGCAGGCUCACGCUUGAAUACAUUAGCAUGGAAUAAUGAAAUAGGACGUUCGAUCCUAUUUUGUUGGUUUUUAGGAUCAACGUAAUGAUUAAUAGGGAUAGUUGGGGGCAUUAGUAUUCAAUUGUCAGAGGUGAAAUUCUUGGAUUUAUUGAAGACUAACUACUGCGAAAGCAUUUGCCAAGGAUGUUUUCAUUAAUCAAGAACGAAAGUUAGGGGAUCGAAGACGAUCAGAUACCGUCGUAGUCUUAACCAUAAACUAUGCCGACUA